rnacentral:lncRNA from 1 species
AUGGAGGUCGGCUCUUGUCUGGAAGGAGCCGGGAGCCUUUGUGAAUGCAGAACGGCCUCCCUGUUGUCCUUUCUCUGUUCUGGCCGCCAGCUCGUCCUUCUCCCAUCCCUAUUGUCUCCACCUUCUCCAGGGCUGACUACCCCAUUCCCACCGGGCCGCCCGGCUCCUUUGGGUCUGGCCCCACCUUGUGGGCAGCCUUGCUCGCUGCAUGUCACUUUGCCUUUUCCUGCCCGGCCGCAAGAGGCUUCGAGGAAGCGAAGGGCUGAAUUCGCUUCCUUGCUUGGAUGGGCGCGCGCGAGCCGAGAGCCCUGCGACCCCUGCCUGGUCCCCGCUCGCUCGGGUGGGCGUUGGAGGCAGGGGCGGCGGAGCUGGAUCCGGCCCCUGUCGAGUCAGCGGCUCCGGCAGGGACACUUCGGGGGUCCGCAGCACCCCUGCCUGCCCUUUUCCAGCUCCUUUCGGGAGAGGCAUGGGCCUGGCGUCUGCUCUCCGGCCAGCAGCCCUGGAAAAAAGACUCCUCGCUCACUGCGGAGCCCUAGAGGAGAUCGAGAGGCUGCCCGGAAGCCUCCCUCCCGCUCGGGGCGCAGAUUCAGUGGGGGCAGCCCCUCCCCCCUUCCCUCGGGAGCCAGCCCACUGGUGGUAGCCAGGCCUAGCCGCGCUAGGAGACCUCGUUGCCAAGCAACAGGCAGCUCCAGACCCAUCUCCAGCGGCCUGGAGGGAAGCCCGCUGCCUUCGUGGGAGGGGGACGCGCCGGCAUUAAAGACUACUUUAGUGCACUGCUCUCUGCCAAGCUGCAAUAACAUUGGGGGGGGGGGGCUUGCUGUGCAAUUGGCCCCGAGGCCAUCUAUUUACCGGAUGAUCCAGGACCCUCGACGUGGAGGGCCCUCAUCUCGCAGCACACUCGCCUGUCUGCCCACAAGGGGGGGCAUUUCUCCCAAGAACGCCCCAACGAGCCGGCUAACCGGGUCUGGACCCCAGACCGUCUCCACCGUCCCGUGGUUCGCACCGGUCCAAUCCAUGGCCCGGAGAAAACCCUGUAGCCUUGGUGUCGUCCCAAGAGAAGCCUUCAGUCACCCGGGAGAAACCCUCCGCUAG